GACGGGGGGAAAAUCAGUGGCGAAGGCGAAUCCCUGGCCAAAGACUGACGCUCAUGUGCGAAAGUGUGGGUAGCGAACAGGAUUAGAUACCCUGGUAGUCCACACCGUAAACGCUGUCUACUAGCUGUGUGUGCCUUUAAGGCGUGCGUAGCGAAGCUAACGCGCUAAGUAGACCGCCUGGGGAGUACGGCCGCAAGGUUAAAACUCAAAUGAAUUGACGGGGGCCCGCACAAG
rnacentral:rRNA from 14 species